UGUUGGGUUAAGUCCGCACGAGCGCAACCCCUACUUGUUAGUUUGCCAUCAUUCAGUUUGGGCACUCUAGCGAGACUGCCGGUAAUAAACCGGAGGAAGUGGGGAUGACGUCAAAUCAUCAUGCCCUUAUGACCUGGGCUACACACGUGCUACAAUGGUUGGUACAACGAGUUGCGAGUCGGUGACGGCGAGCUAAUCUCUUAAAGCCAAUCUCAGUUCGGAUUGUAGGCUGCAACUCGCCUACAUGAAGUCGGAAUCGCUAGUAAUCGCGGAUCAGCACGCCGCGGUGAAUACGUUCCCGGGCCUU
rnacentral:rRNA from 1 species